UACGUAGGGGGCAAGCGUUGUCCGGAAUCAUUGGGCGUAAAGAGCGUGUAGGCGGCCCGGUAAGUCUGUUGUGAAAGUCCAGGGCUCAACCCUGGAAUGCCGAUGGAUACUGCCGGGCUAGAGUUCGGAAGAGGCGAGUGGAAUUCCUGGUGUAGCGGUGGAAUGCGCAGAUAUCAGGAGGAACACCAAUGGCGAAGGCAGAUCUCUGGGCCGUAACUGACGCUGAGGAGCGAAGGCAUGGGGAGCGAACAGG
rnacentral:rRNA from 1 species